AUAUCUUUAAUUGCUCUUUGGCCUUUACAAGCAAGUGUACUAUCUGUCCUUACCGGUUUAAUAUCUGAUGUGUACUCUAUCCUUGGACUACAUACUAAAUGGGCUUUGGGAGCAGGGAGCUGUCAUAGAAGUUUACUCCAUCCACUUCACUCAGUGACCUGGCAUUGUGGUGCUCCCAGGACAGUGUGGCCCUC
ensembl:snRNA U2 U2 spliceosomal RNA